AGGACAUGGGAAGCUUGCUUCCUAUGAAAUCGAGUGGCAAACGGGUGAGUAACGCGUAAACAACCUGCCCUUCGGAUGGGGAUAACAGCCGGAAACGGCUGCUAAUACCGAAUACGAUCUUUUCGUCGCAUGACGGAAAGAAGAAAGGAUGGCCUCUAUACAAAGCUAUCGCCGAAGGAGGGGUUUGCGUCUGAUUAGCUGGUUGGAGGGGUAACGGCCCAACAAGGCGAUGAUCAGUAGCCGGUCUGAGAGGAUGAACGGCCACAUUGGGACUGAGACACGGCCCAGACUCCUACGGGAGGCAGCAGUGGGGAAUCUUCCGCAAUGGACGAAAGUCUGACGGAGCAACGCCGCGUGAGUGAAGAAGGUCUUCGGAUUGUAAAGCUCUGUUAUACGGGACGAAAAAGACGGAUGCCAACAGUAUCCGUCCGUGACGGUACCGUAAGAGAAAGCCACGGCUAACUACGUGCCAGCAGCCGCGGUAAUACGUAGGUGGCAAGCGUUGUCCGGAAUUAUUGGGCGUAAAGGGCGCGCAGGCGGUUCGGUAAGUCUGUCUUAAAAGUGCGGGGCUUAACCCCGUGAGGGGACGGAAACUGUCGAACUUGAGUGUCGGAGAGGAAAGCGGAAUUCCUAGUGUAGCGGUGAAAUGCGUAGAUAUUAGGAGGAACACCGGUGGCGAAAGCG
rnacentral:rRNA from 1 species